rnacentral:rRNA from 1 species
UACAGAGGGGGCAAGCGUUGUUCGGAAUUACUGGGCGUAAAGGGCGCGUAGGCGGCCUGUUAAGUCGAACGUGAAAUCCCCGGGCUCAACCUGGGAACUGCGUCCGAUACUGGCAGGCUUGAAUCCGGGAGAGGGAUGUGGAAUUCCAGGUGUAGCGGUGAAAUGCGUAGAUAUCAGGAGGAACACCGGUGGCGAAGGCGGGUCUCUGGGCCGAUACUGACGCUGAGGAGCGAAAGCGUGGGGAGCGAACAGG